AAAACAUGGACAAAAAGUGUCACCAAAAUGAAGUGUCACAAAAAAUGAAAUAAAAAACAUACAAACAUACCAAAAAGAAAUUGCUAGACCCUGCAGGAGGCUCUUGCGGGGUCUAGCAAGUUAUUAAGAGAGCAGGAGAAAAUAAAUUCUAAAUUAAACAGAAUUUGUAAUAAAGGAAGUGUAAACAUCAUAUGACUUUACAGGAAGUGUUUAGGAAGCCUGUGUCAUGUCAUGUGCUGAGAGGUGUGGCUAGAGUUGCAUAAACAAUGUGAUUUAACUCCUAAAUGGCAGAGAAUUGAGCAGUAAGACUGCAGGGGCAUGAUUUAUACACCCAAACUGCUUCAUUAAGCUAAAGUUGUUUUGGUGACAAUAGUGUAAGCUACACAAUAUGACUUUUUUAUAGACCUGACACUGAAAGGGUGUUACCUUAAUUCUAGCAAAAUCUAAACUGCUUCUAUCUCUGAAAAAGUCAGACACAGGAUAUUUCACUUCUCUAUAAAAUUUUCUAAUCAGACACAAUGUUUACAUAAGAGGGAUUUUUAUUUUUACAAACUAAAGCAUAUUCUUUUAACUUUUUACAAUGACAAACAAACCCGGGAAAACAUUGAGGGUUGUAACCCUAAUGCUGCAGUGUUCCUGUAACCUUUGUACAUCAGUGUCCUAGUGCUAAUGUUUGUGUAUAGUUCGAGAAAUAAAAAAAGAACAAUGUCCCAAAUAAGAAACGUGGGUAAAAAUAACUCCAAUAGCAUAAUGAAAAAAUACAUGCAGUCAAUUUAAUAUCUGUAGGUCGCCAACCUUCUUACCCAGCCUUGCCCUCCACACAGAAAUAGUGAUUCCCCAAAAAGGAAGAGACUGGUAAAACAAGGACCAUUUUGGUGCCCAUCCUCAUUCUCAAGAUCUUCAAAAAGAACAGUUAUCAAAAGGCAAUUUUUCAUAAAAUAAGAGGAAUGCCCCAAUAAAUUUUAUUUGUGUAUCUGAAAGCAUUUCUGAAGUUUUAAAAAACAAAAAAACAACUUCACUCCCCUUCUUCUUUGGAAUAUUACUAUAUAAAGAUCCCUUUAUCUUUUUCUCAAUAUUGCUUUGUAUAGCAGUGACAUCAGCUGAGAAUUUAAUGUGUUUUGUAAAAUGAAUGGGCUCAAAUUUUCAUAGAUUGAAAGGUCAUUUGAGCACGGCCUUCUUCACGCCUUCCCCUUUCUAUAAUUGUAACGCGCUGUGGAAUAUGUUUGCGCGAUAUAAAUACUAAUACUAAUCAUAAUAAUGGAGGGGGAAAUCUCUGAAAAAAAGUGAUUUUAAAACAGAAUAGCAUCGAUAACACUUAUACAGAUGUAAAAAUCUUCUAGAAAAUUAUUAGCAAAGCGAUAAUUGUUAUCUACAAAUCGCAGGUAUUAUAAUAAAACCCUGCACUAGCCAAGUAUUAAUCUGAUAAAGACUGAGUUAAAGGUGAUAAUAUAGAUGCAAAGGUUAAAAAGCACUUAACCUGGUGAUAACUUUUUAAAGAUUCUAGCCUUUUUCAUUCCUCCUAUGACAGCAAGCUUGUCUGAGCAGGACGAUUAUUUUCUGUUUUUUAUAGUGUAUGCUAGCGCUAUAUAUUAUAGAAACACAGAAUGUGACGGCAGAUAAGAACCAUUCGGCCCAUCUAGUCUGCCCAAUUUUCUAAAUACUUUCAUUAGUCCCUGGCCUUAUCUUAUAGUUAGGAUAGCCUUAUGCCUAUCCCACGCAUGCUUAAACUCCUUUACUGUGUUAACUCUACCACUUCAGCUGGAAGGCUAUUCCAUGCAUCCACUACCCUCUCAGUAAAGUAAUACUUCCUGAUAUUAUUUUUAAACCUUUGUCCCUCUAAUUUAAGAUUAUGUCCUCUUGUUGUGGUAGUUUUUCUUCUUUUAAAUAUAGUCUCCUCCUUUACUGUGUUGAUUCCCUUUAUAUAUUUAAAUGUUUCUAUCAUAUCCCCCCUGUCUCGCCUUUCCUCCAAGCUAUACAUGUUAAGAUCCUUUAACCUUUCCUUGUAAGUUUUAUCCCGCAAUCCAUGAACCAGUUUAGUAGCCCUUCUCUGAACCCUCUCUAAGGUAUCAAUAUCCUUCUGAACAUACAAUACUAAACAAAACACAUUUAGGAUUCGGCACAGGACUUAUCCCACAGGGGUAAUAUGAAAUAAAUAAUUUAAUAAGUGAUUAUAACAGUAUGUCUUUACUCUUCAUCCUGGGAAACCAUAAAUAAUAACGAGGAAUAAAAUGGCCUGCCAGUGAUAUAAAAUUAUUUUCCGUUUUGUAUUGGAUUUCUCUCCAAAUGAACGCGCUAUGCCGAUCUUAGUAGCAAAAAGCAUGUGAGUGAUUAAAUAUAAUAAAUCCUAUUUUGAGAGGUAAUACUGGUAUUAAAUAGAAAGUGUUAUGGGGAAAACUGACAAAACCUCAGGAAACAAGAUACUAAUUUUCUUAAACAAAAAUAGAGAAUAUGACAUCUCUGACAACAGACAAAAGCUUAGAGGAACUCCGUAGCUUGCCCUUCGCUAACUUCCUGCUCAGGUCUCAAAGUAGUUUUUGCUCAUUCGUGCCAUUACAGAGAGAACCAGGUCCAAUGCAUAUCAGACUUAUCCCAUUCAUUUGGUCAGUCCAGAACCAAAAUGCCAGCAACUUCUCUCUGAAUGAGAGAAACAGCAACCCCAGACAAUUGUUUCGGCCUUUUUUGGGCCUUGUCAGCGAGGUGUAGCUGAUACCCCUUUAGGCACAUCUGAAUUAUCCUUUUGACUUGGUUCCUUUAGAAACAGUUUUCUUUUCAAAUCAUGUAUUCCCUCACAGUCCCACCAAAUGUGGUCAAUAGUUCAUAAUUCUUUAUGACAUCUCCAACAACUCGAUGAAUGGUAUUUCGAAAUUCUAUGAAGUCUAAGAAGAACCAUAAACCGAUACAGAUCAUUUUUAAAAUGUAAUUCUAACAGGGCAAUACAAUGAAUGCUCUGCUUUACUCAUAGGGUAUACAGCAGAACUUUUUAGGGCCCUACAUGAUAGGAAGUCCCUCUGGUGGCCGUCUGAGUGACAGCCACUGGAGAUAUUCCUAUCAAUUAAUGUAAACACUGUAUUUUCUCUGAAUAGUGAUUCCCCAAAAAGGGAGAAAGAGACUGGUAAAACAAGGACCAUUUUGGUGCCCAUCCUCAUUCUCAAGAUCUUCAAAAAGAACAGUUAUUAAAAGGCGAUUUUUCAUAAAAUUAGAGGAAUGCCCCAAUAAAUUUUAUUUGUGUAUCUGAAAGCAUUUCUGAAGUUUUAAAAAAUAAAAAAACAACUUCACUCUCC
rnacentral:lncRNA from 1 species